UCAGGGCUGGGGUUGGGUGUGUGUAUGUGUGUCUGUGUGCGCGCCUCUGUGUGUGUGGGGUGGUUUCUCUCCCCCCCCUUCUCCCUCCCCUGGUCCUCUCCUCUUCUUCAAAUCACUUAUCUCCCCCCACCUUCUCCGCUCUGAGCACCAUCCCAGCUUUCCUGCUUCCCCCCCCCUCCCCGCGCGCUUUCCCCUGAUCUGCCCCUUUAAGAAAAAGCGACCUUUCUGUCCUCCUAACCCUUUCCACGCUGCUUCCCUUCCCCAGUGGACAAUAUGCAAAGAUGACCAUCCUCAGAGAGUUACGACGGGCGUUAACUUGAAGUUAGUUCCCUCCUUCCCCUUCCUCCGUCCCGAUCCCUUGCAUGCUUCCUCGCGAGUCAAGCCCCUACCUGCCGGCCCUUUCCAAGGAGCGGGGCCUGAUCUUCUCCACCUUUUACUUGGAAAGCAGCAAGCCCCAUUGAUCGGGAUGGGGCUCACCUCCAGGUUCGGGGCAGUUGCUACCCAGGACAUCCAGCGGAAAUGUAAACUCGAAUGUGCCAAGAAAAUGUUUGAGAAAUAUUCAGAAGUACUGUGGGACUGAACACGAAUUCGGGUUGGAAAACGGUACAAGACGGCUGAAGGCAGGAGAAAGGAAAAAUGGCCAACGAAGGCUGAAAAUGGAAUAACCAGUUAUUGGAUGAUUUCAACUUCCCCCGCAAAGAUCGUGCCUGUUAAAUCAGCUUGGCUCCUUUUCGCGUCGUACAUUUCUCUUGUUCUUAAGAAGAAGGAGCUUUUAUACAGGAAGCUCCCCGGGGCAGGGACCCUGCCUCCUUUUCCCUUCAUGUAUUCCGCCUGAUCCUAAGAAGAGGGUUCCUUUCUAGAAAGUUCUUCGGGGCAGGGAACCUAUCAUUUGAAUUCCGUGCACCCAUAUUGUAAAGGAAAACCUAAACGUUGUAAAUAAAUAUACAACAUUUAUCUUUCUCUGUAAAGGGCACUGAACGUCGAUGGCCUGAUACUAAUUGUUGUUCACGAUCUUUGGGACAAUUAAACACUUUUUGAGACCAAAAUAAA